UUCCAGACUCCUACGGGAGGCAGCAGUGAGGAAUAUUGGUCAAUGGCCGGAAGGCUGAACCAGCCAAGCCGCGUGAAGGACGAAGGUGCCAAGCAUUGUAAACUUCUUUUGUCAAGGGACAAAAUCAGGCUCGAGAGCCUGACCGAGGGUACUUGAAGAAAAAGCAUCGGCUAACUCCGUGCCAGCAGCCGCGGUAAUACGUAUGGUGCAAGCGUUAUCCGGAUUUACUGGGCGUAAAGGGAGCGCAGGCGGCGCGCCAAGUCUGAUGUGAAACCCCGGGGCUCAACCCCGGGCAUGCAUUGGAAACUGGCGGGCUGGAGUGCCGGAGAGGUAAGCGGAAUUCCUAGUGUAGCGGUGAAAUGCGUAGAUAUUAGGAGGAACACCAGUGGCGAAGGCGGCUUACUGGACGGCAACUGACGCUGAGGCUCGAAAGCGUGGGGAGCAAACAGGAUUAGAUACCCCAGUAC
rnacentral:rRNA from 1 species